rnacentral:rRNA from 1 species
CCCCGUCAUCGGAUGAUCUAAGCCAUGCGAGUCAUUGUAGUAAUACAAGGCAGACGGCUCAGUAACGCGUACUCUUCCUACCCUAUGGACGGGAAUAACCUCGGGAAACUGACCUUAAUGCCCGAUAGAACACUAUGCCUGGAAUGGUUUGUGUUCCAAAUGAUUUAUCGCCGUAGGAUGGGACUGCGCCCUAUCAGUUUGUUGGUGAGGUAAUGGCCCACCAAGACUAUUACAGGUACGGGCUCUGAGAGGAGUGGCCCGGAGAUGGGUACUGAGACACGGACCCAGGCCCUAUGUCGCGCAGCAUGCGAGAAAACUUUGCUAUGUGCGACAGCACGACAAGGAUAAUCCGAGUGGUUUCUGCUAAAGGAACCUUUUGUCGGUCCUAGAAACACCGAUGAAUAAGGGGUGGUCGAGUUCUGGUGUCAGCCGCCGCGGUAAAACCAGCUCCUCAAGUGGUCAGGAUGAUUAUUGGGCCUAAAGCAUCCGGAGCCUGGUUUGUUAGUUUUCGGUUAAAUCUGUACGCUCAACGUACAGGCUGCCGGGAAUACUGCAAAGCUAGGGAGUGGGAGAGGUAGACGGUACUCGGUAGGAAGGGGUAAAAUCCUUUGAUCUAUUGAUGAACACGUGUGGCGAAGGCGGUCUACCAGAACACGUCCGAAGGUGAGGGAUGAAAGCUGGUUGAUCCAAACGGAUUACCCCCCCGGGUAGUCCCACCUGUAAUACUAUGCCAACUCAGAGAUGCCUUGCCUUGUGGGCAAUGAAAUGAUGCAAGGAAUUUCUUUAUGUUUGCCGCCUGGUAAGUUC